CUGAGUCUAAAAAUAGCUUGAUCAGCGUGUCGACUGUUUGGUUUACACGUGUUGGGAUACUGAUAGAUUCAUCAUCGAGAAUUACCGAUAGUGAUUGAAGUAAGUACAACUGCACAGUGGAUAUCUGAAAAGAUUGGGUCAAAAUUACACACUUCAAAGUCAAUGACAGAUUUAAACAUGUGACAACGCGUGCGUGGAUGUGAAGUUCUGCUGUAGUACGCAUCGUCCUGACACUAUUCGCAUCUUUUGGAAUUGUUUCGUCGUCUGCACUUUCUGUUGCCACAGCAGUCGCUGUUUUUCUUACAUUUCUCGUUUUUCCCUGCACACUACAAAAGAACCAUAGGAAGCAAAUGGUUUAUUUAACGACGCACUCAACACAUAUGGUUAAGGACCACACAGAUAUUGAGUGAGGAAAUCCGCUGUCGCUACUUCAUGGGCUACUCUUUUCGAUUAGCAGCGGGGGA